UACGUAGGGGGCAAGCGUUGCUCGGAAUCACUGGGCGUAAAGGGUGCGUAGGCGGGUCUUUAAGUCAGGGGGGAAAUCCUGGAGCUCAACUCCAGAACUGCCUUUGAUACUGAGGAUCUUGAGUUCGGGAGAGGUGAGUGGAACUGCGAGUGUAGAGGUGAAAUUCGUAGAUAUUCGCAAGAACACCAGUGGCGAAGGCGGCUCACUGGCCCGAUACUGACGCUGAGGCACGAAAGCGUGGGGAGCAAACAGG
rnacentral:rRNA from 1 species